rnacentral:miRNA from 1 species
GGAUUGGGGGCCGAUGGAAAGG